CCUGACYGYUAUCGGAUUGAUACUAAGCCAUGCGAGUCAUUGUASCAAUACAAGGCAGACGGCUCAGUAACGCGUAGUCAACCUACCCUAUGGACGGGAAUAACCUCGGGGAACUGAGUAUAAUGCCCGAUAGAACACUAUGCCUGGAAAGGUUUGUGUUCCAAACGAUUUAUCGCCGUAGGAUGGGACUGCGGCCUAUCAGUUUGUUGGUGAGGUAAUGGCCCACCAAGACUAUUACAGGUACGGGCUCUGAGAGGAGUAGCCCGGAGAUGGGUACUGAGACACAGACCCAGGCCCUAUGGGGCGCAGCAGGCGAGAAAACUUUGCAAUGUGCGAAAGCACGACAAGGUUAAUCCGAGUGGUUUCUGCUAAAGGAACCUUUUGACAGUCCUAAAAACACUGUUGAAUAAGGGGUGGGCAAGUUCUGGUGUCAGCCGCCGCGGUAAAACCAGCACCUCAAGUGGUCAGGAUGAUUAUUGGGCCUAAAGCAUCCGUAGCCGGCUCUGUUAGUUUUCGGUUAAAUCUGUACGCUCAACGUACAGGCUGCCGGAAAUACUGCAGAGCUAGGGAGUGGGAGAGGUAGGCGGUACUCGGUAGGAAGGGGUAAAAUCCUUUGAUCUAUUGAUGACCACCUGUGGCGAAGGCGGUCUACCAGAACACGUCCGACGGUGAGGGAUGAAAGCUGGGGGAGCAAACCGGAUUAGAUACCCGGGUAGUCCCAGCUGUAAACUAUGCAAACUCAGUGAUGCAUUGGCUUGUGGCCAAUGCAGUGCUGCAKGSAAGCCGUUAAGUUGCSCCUGGGAAGUACGUACGCAGUAUGAAACUUAAGGAAUUGGCGGGGGAGCACCACAGGGGUGAAGCCUGCGGUUC
rnacentral:rRNA from 1 species